rnacentral:rRNA from 1 species
UACGGAGGGUGCAAGCGUUAUCCGGAUUCACUGGGUUUAAAGGGUGCGUAGGUGGGCAGGUAAGUCAGUGGUGAAAUCUCCGGGCUUAACCCGGAAACUGCCGUUGAUACUAUUUGUCUUGAAUAUUGUGGAGGUAAGCGGAAUAUGUCAUGUAGCGGUGAAAUGCUUAGAUAUGACAAAGAACACCAAUUGCGAAGGCAGCUUACUACACAAUGAUUGACACUGAGGCACGAAAGCGUGGGGAUCAAACAGG